GGAAAGGAAGCUGAGUGGUAGAGCAUCUGCCCUUGCAUGCAGAAGGCCCCAGUUUCAAUCCCCAGCAUUUCCA